rnacentral:rRNA from 1 species
GACGAACGCUGGCGGCGUGCUUAACACAUGCAAGUCGAACGGAAAGGCCCUGCUUGCAGGGUGGUCUAGUGGCGAACGGGUGAGUAACACGUGGGUGAUCUGCGCGUCACUUCGGGAUAAGCUUGGUAAACUGGGGCUAAUACCGGAUAGGAACCAUGUUUAGUGUGGGGGUUGGACAGUUUUUUGGGUGUGGGAUGAGCUCGCGGCCUAUCAGUUUGUUGGUGGGGUAAUGGCCUACCAAGGCGGCGACGGGUAGCCGGCCUGAGAGGGUGUACGGCCACAGUGGGACUGAGAUACGGCCCAGACACCUACGGGAGGCAGCAGUGGGGAAGAUUGAACAAGGGGCGCAAGCCCGAUGCAGCGACGCCGCGUGGGGGAUGAAGGACUUCGGGUUGUAAACGCCGUUCGCUAGGGACGAAGCGUUUUGUGACGGUACCUAGAUAAGAAGCACCGGCUAACUACGUG